AUAUGGAUGUGCUAUGGAUUAAGGAUGUUAUAUAUAUGAUGUAUGGAUUAUGGAUGUGUUAUAUGUUGUAUGGACUAAGGAUGUUAUAUAUAUGAUGUAUGGAUUAAGGAUGUUAUAUAUAUGAUGUAUGGAUUACGGAUGUGUUAUGUACUGUAUGGAUUACGAAUGUUAUAUAUAUGUUGUAUGGAUUAUGUUAUAUUUAUA
rnacentral:lncRNA from 1 species